CGGGAAGUAGCUCAGAUGGUUUAGAGUACACGCUUUGGGAGCGUGGGGUCGCGGGUUCGAGUCCCGCCUUCCCGA
rnacentral:tRNA from 1 species